UGGACAUCUUCCAAAGCUGCAUGCCAGUCACCCACUUAUGCUCUCAAUGUACCUGAGGCUUCAAGCUCAGUUAAAGAAGCCUGGUGACCCUAAGCACACCUCAAGGUUGGGUAGUAAGUAUUAUCUUGUGAAUACAUAAAGAGAUGGAGUGCUGUGACAGAUGACCUGGUCCCUACAAUCCCCCCAACCUAAACCCUAUGGAGAAGGUUUUGGAUGAGUUGGAUUGAAGAGGAAGGGCAACACAGCUGACUUGUGCCCUGAACUUGUGGAAACUCUUCCAGGACUCUGGGCCAACAGUCUGCAAUGCUGUCAUUGAAGCAAAAGUUAGCUUCUGAAGGUCGGCUGACUGGAGUGAGCUCCUACGCUUCACUGAGGAUCCCUGACUGGCAUAAAUGAGAACCCACCUGAAGAAGAUGUGCCACCCACAGGUGGAGAUCUGCUGAGUGGCCAGGUGCAGAACGCCCAGAUGGAUUAUUAGUAUUCUUUUAAAUAAAGGCUUAAAAUCCAAGCCAUAAAUGACUAAUGCAAGGCGAGUCAGGCCUUGAAAAACGGUACAACAUACAAAUAGUAUAUAAACACUUAACUUGUUUUUGAAGACAGCUAAGAAUCAGCAGCUAAACUGUUCAGAAUAUCCCAUUGGGGUUAAGUAUUCCAUCCACUAUCCAUCCAAUGAUUUUUACUGUAGCAAUUCAGAUGGUUCGCUGUUCUCGAGAUAACAGGUGUAGGGGACGUGUCAUGGGAAUUUAACCGGCAGCUGAAUCUAAAUUUGAUGGCACAUUUUUUUUGCAUUUAAAAUGACCUUUAAAAGCAGCUGACAACACCGUGGUGAUUAAUCAAGGUCACUGCUGUCCUGCUGCCAGACAUUUAGCCACCAUUUAUAUGCAACAGAGAGGGCUGAUCCUGGUACAGAGGGAGAGGUAUUUUCUGUCAGAUUCAUGUGGAUUUUAUGGGAGGGACAUCGGCUUGCUCAUAUUUCACUGCCCUGCAUCACUCCUUCAUACCGUUACCGUUCCUGGCUCCCCCAAGCCCUAUCUUUCACCAAGCCAAGAGUCUGAUGAAAGAAAACUAUCACUGCUGGGCCCCGAAGUCCCAGAAUUCCUUCAGGUCUUCAUUUUAAAAAUAAAAAAGUCACUCUGAAAAUUCGCAUAUCGUCCUGCUGGGCCUCAAACAUCUUU